GAUCACAAAGAGAUUCACUGCUGAUGAUGAAGUAUGGGCAGAUUAUUUGAAGUCACAUCCAACGCAUGGGCACUUUCGGUCAGAAACUUUUCCAGACUAUGAGGACUUGAAAAUUGCAGUUGGAAAUGGAACUGCAACUGGAAUGGGCUCAAUCAGUUUAGGUGAUGAUACAGAUGCCUCUACAUUUGGAGCGGAAGAAAACGGACCUUGGGGAAUUGAUGGAUUAGUUUUUGAUCGAAAUACUAACAUGUUCGUGCAAAGUGAAAAUGAGUCAUCACACCAAGAAAACUCGCCAUCUCUUUCACAACAACCCUUCCAAGGUACCAAUGUAGAUGCUCCACCACAUAGCAGGACUCAAGGAAAACGGAGUAGGACUGACUAUGAAAAUAAUAGCGGCUCAAAGGGGGCAACUAGUCAGGCUGAGGUUUUAGAAAACUUAUCAAGUGGCAUUGGUAAAAUUGUCACAAGUUUUGAUAAAAUUUGUGGCUUAAUGGAGAAGAGAGAAUCAAGAGAGAGUGAUCUUUUGGAUGCUAUGAACGAGACCCCAGGAUUAACUGAUGAGGCUUGCUUUAUGGCUCUUGAUUUGCUUAAUACUAAAGCAAAGCAAGAUUUCUUCUUGAAGAUGACUCCUGAACAACGACAUAAUUGGAUCACCUAUAAACAAAUGCAAUAGGUGUGGGUCAAUCUCCACUAGCGACACCUAAUAAGCAAUAGGCUAUGUUCUAUUAUUAAUUUUAAGUUAUGGAGUUUGAUUUUAUUUUGUUUGAAUUGCAGCUUGUUUUGAAUGAUUUUAAACUGGUGCUUUCUCUAUUAGCAAUGUCUGAAAUGGACAUGUAUGGAGCUGAUGAAGAGGAAGAGCAGUUUUACGAGGCUGUUAAGAUAUUAUUAAUGGCAAUACAAGCAGUGAUUUAUGUGUUAUACGAACUUGUGUUCAGCAUACGUGGUGAACAUAUUAGACGUCCGCUGACUCGUCGACCAGUGACAUCAAGUGGAUACAUAUAUAUGCACAACAUAUUGGACAGAGACCCUCAAAUCUUUAGAGAUGUGUAUAGAAUGUAUCCUGACGUGUUUCGAAAAUUAUGUAGCAUCCUAAAAGCGAAAACACCUUUACGGGAUACAAGA